AUUUCCUUCAUCAGAAGCAUCAGUCAGCAGUUUGACCACAGAACCCUGGGUACUGAGAAAAUGAAGUGUUUAUUGACCACCCUGGCUUCUGCACAUUUCAUCAGGAAUGCAGAAUCAUAGACAUCUGUGUGAUGAGGCUGGGAGCCAUUCUAGUGAAUCUUCAAACCCGGCAGUGGUCCUGGGGCUCCCUGACACAAUCAGGAAGAAAAGAACACGCUGGGGUAAAGAAUGGGGUGAGCCUGGCUCCCUAAAGAUGACCAGAGAUCGGGAUAACCACUGGGAUUGGCACCUGGGCAGCUGCCCCACUGUGUGAGCUCCUGACGGUGACAGGAAGGCAUGGAUUGAGGACAUCAUGUUUAGAAGAAGGACAUUGUCAUCAAAUUGACAAGCACACACGGUGUGGUAGCUAACACUUGAGUCAUUGAUGAUCCAACCUGUGAUGUGAAUUCUCUGACAUUUUCUACUUGUGACAUGGUACCACUGCUGUAAAAGUUGCCAUAAACAGAUUAUAUUACUGAAUCACCUAAAUAAAUUGUUGACUAUAUUUGGUUAAUAAAAUUGAAAGUUUGUAGAGGUGAAAAUUUGUUCUGGUUUUAAAGCACUGAUGUAAUGCACUGCCAUUCCUCUCUGAGACAGAACUGAAUGUGCCAGUGGGGCACCAGGAGGAAGAGGGGGUGCCUUCUUUCUCCACCAUUCAUACAUAUGCAGACCUUACCUCAGGUGUCCAGGGGCUGUUUGAACCCUAUCCUAGAUUAGAAGAAAACUUGAUCAAACAAUCUAUUAUUGAAUCCCUUAAUAAUUUAUUGACUUACCUGAUUAAUAAAAUUUAAA